UGCUAAGCAACAUGGAGGAAGUGGUGGCUGAAAUAGAAAUAACAAGAAACUUAAGAACAAGUGAGUACCUCAUCAUGGAGUUCAGGAAAGAAAUGGAGAAAAAAGGGCAAAUCAGACCAAGAGGGAUGACAACCUCUCAAAAAUGAAGUUUUGAAGACACAAGCAGAAAUUAUUAUAAUGAAGAGCAAUACAAGGAUCUAAGACAUCUCCAAAGGCC